AAAGUUAGUAAUUAGUUUUCGAAAUUCAGCUUUUUAUUACAACCUUAACUUUGUAUAAAACUUGCAAAGGCAACUUAAUGAAGUUAUAUCCCAUAUCUGAAGUGAUCGAUCAAUAGAUCCACUCAGUAAUAAUGUUCCUGAAGAAUUAAAUGUUAUACACGGUACUAAAAUCAUUAGACAAUGUAAAGUAUUCGUAACCGCAUACUAUUAUGUUCAUGUCCUUCCAGUACUAAUGUCUCUUGUCUAAACCAAGGAGAAUGGUAAUCCUCUUUAAAUCGUUUAAAUUCAGGCGACAGAUGAAAUCUGAAUUACAAUUAGAAGAUCGGUAUUAUUGAAUGAGCGUACAAAUUAACAUUGUGAGAAUUGGAAGAUAUGCCAAGGAUCCUAAGAGGUGAAACUGCUAGUCCCCAAGCUGAAUGCUGAACAUCAUAAAUUAUAGGCUCUCGAUUUAACUUUUGAACAUCGUAUAUCGCUACUUUUCCACAAUCAUUGGCGGUAAUAAAAUACUCCAAAUCUCCAAUUAAUUCACAACGAACAUUGUUGAUGACAUUUGGCAUGUCUUGAUUGAUAUCUCCUUGCCGCGAGGAAGAUGCUUCAUGAGGACAAUGCAAAUAAAAGCAAGGUUCAGGUUCUGAAGCAUCUGAUGAGAUCUCCUUUAAGUCAUAAACAAGAACUUCAUCUAUGUUACGUAUUAGCUUUUAUAAUUACUUAAAAG